UGAGGAAUAUUGGUCAAUUGACUAGAGUCUGAACCAGCCAAGUAGCGUGCAGGAUGACGGCCCUAUGGGUUGUAAACUGCUUUUUUUUGGGAAUAAUCGACAUUUCGUGUAAUGUUUUGCAUGUACCAUUCGAAUAAGGACCGGCUAAUUCCGUGCCAGCAGCCGCGGUAAUACGGAAGGUUCGGGCGUUAUCCGGAUUUAUUGGGUUUAAAGGGAGCGUAGGCCGUUUGGUAAGCGUGUUGUGAAAUGUAGGAGCUCAACUUCUAGAUUGCAGCGCGAACUGUCAGACUUGAGUGCGCACAACGUAGGCGGAAUUCAUGGUGUAGCGGUGAAAUGCUUAGAUAUCAUGAAGAACUCCGAUUGCGAAGGCAGCUUACGGGAGCGCAACUGACGCUGACGCUCGAAGGUGCGGGUAUCGAACAGG
rnacentral:rRNA from 1 species